CUACGGGAUGCAGCAGUCGAGAAUAGUCUACAAUGGGGGAAACCCUGAUAGUGCGACGCCGCGUGAACGAAGAAGCUUUUCGGAGUGUAAAGUUCUUUUCUGUAUGAGCAAUGCUUUAUUGUUUAAGAGAUAAUAGAGAGAGAUAUUAGUACAGGAAUAAGCCACGGCUAGACUCCGUGCCAGCAGCCGCGGUAAUACGGGGGUGGCAAGCGUUGUCCGGAAUUACUAGGCGUAAAGGGCAGGUAGGCGGAUAUUCAAGUCAGGCGUUAAAGGCAUCAGCUCAACUGGUGUACGGCGUUUGAAACUGGAUAUCCAGAGUCAGGUAGAGGUAGAUGGAAUUCCUAGUGUAGCGGUGGAAUGCGCAGAGAUUAGGAAGAACACCAAAGGCGAAGGCAAUCUACUGGGCCAUGACUGACGCUAAACUGCGAAGGUGUGGGUAUCAAACAGGAUUAGAUACCCUAGUAGUC
rnacentral:rRNA from 1 species